AGCAAAUCAAAAUCAUGCUCUUUGUAUGUGGCUAUUGAGCUGAAAUUGCAAGUGUGAUAAGUGUCUUGUGUUUGAGCUUUGGUAAUGAAAAUGAAAUAUGGAUGUGUCAUGAUUUAUUGAUAUAUGUGCUUGGUUAUUCGAAUGAUAUCCGGGCGAAGUCCCGAAAGCUUUUGUGCUAAGUGACUAUAUCCAGACUAAGAUCCGAAGGCAUUUGUGCGAGUUACUAAUUCCGG
rnacentral:lncRNA from 1 species